rnacentral:rRNA from 1 species
UACGUAGGGUGCAAGCGUUGUCCGGAUUUAUUGGGCGUAAAGAGCUCGUAGGCGGUUUGAUAAGUCGGAUGUGAAACCCUCAGGCUUAACCUGGGGCCGCCAUUCGAUACUGUCAUGGCUAGAGUCCGGUAGGGGACCAUGGAAUUCCUGGUGUAGCGGUGAAAUGCGCAGAUAUCAGGAGGAACACCGGUGGCGAAGGCGGUGGUCUGGGCCGGAACUGACGCUGAGGAGCGAAAGCGUGGGGAGCGAACAGG